rnacentral:rRNA from 1 species
CAUAGGUUAAUGAGGCGAACCGGGGGAACUGAAACAUCUAAGUACCCCGAGGAAAAGAAAUCAACCGAGAUUCCCCCAGUAGCGGCGAGCGAACGGGGAGGAGCCCAGAGCCUGAAUCAGUGUGUGUGUUAGUGGAAGCGUCUGGAAAGGCGCGCGAUACAGGGUGACAGCCCCGUACACAAAAAUGCACAUGCUGUGAGCUCGAUGAGUAGGGCGGGACACGUGGUAUCCUGUCUGAAUAUGGGGGGACCAUCCUCCAAGGCUAAAUACUCCUGACUGACCGAUAGUGAACCAGUACCGUGAGGGAAAGGCGAAAAGAACCCCGGCGAGGGGAGUGAAAAAGAACCUGAAACCGUGUACGUACAAGCAGUGGGAGCCUCUUAAUGGGGUGACUGCGUACCUUUUGUAUAAUGGGUCAGCGACUUAUAUUCUGUAGCAAGGUUAACCGAAUAGGGGAGCCGAAGGGAAACCGAGUCUUAACUGGGCGUUAAGUUGCAGGGUAUAGACCCGAAACCCGGUGAUCUAGCCAUGGGCAGGUUGAAGGUUGGGUAACACUAACUGGAGGACCGAACCGACUAAUGUUGAAAAAUUAGCGGAUGACUUGUGGCUGGGGGUGAAAGGCCAAUCAAACCGGGAGAUAGCUGGUUCUCCCCGAAAGCUAUUUAGGUAGCGCCUCGUGAAUUCAUCUCCGGGGGUAGAGCACUGUUUCGGCAAGGGGGUCAUCCCGACUUACCAACCCGAUGCAAACUGCGAAUACCGGAGAAUGUUAUCACGGGAGACACACGGCGGGUGCUAACGUCCGUCGUGAAGAGGGAAACAACCCAGACCGCCAGCUAAGGUCCCAAAGUCAUGGUUAAGUGGGAAACGAUGUGGGAAGGCCCAGACAGCCAGGAUGUUGGCUUAGAAGCAGCCAUCAUUUAAAGAAAGCGUAAUAGCUCACUGGUCGAGUCGGCCUGCGCGGAAGAUGUAACGGGGCUAAACCAUGCACCGAAGCUGCGGCAGCGACACUAUGUGUUGUUGGGUAGGGGAGCGUUCUGUAAGCCUGUGAAGGUGGCCUGUGAGGGUUGCUGGAGGUAUCAGAAGUGCGAAUGCUGACAUAAGUAACGAUAAAGCGGGUGAAAAGCCCGCUCGCCGGAAGACCAAGGGUUCCUGUCCAACGUUAAUCGGGGCAGGGUGAGUCGACCCCUAAGGCGAGGCCGAAAGGCGUAGUCGAUGGGAAACAGGUUAAUAUUCCUGUACUUGGUGUUACUGCGAAGGGGGGACGGAGAAGGCUAUGUUGGCCGGGCGACGGUUGUCCCGGUUUAAGCGUGUAGGCUGGUUUUCCAGGCAAAUCCGGAAAACCAAGGCUGAGGCGUGAUGACGAGGCACUACGGUGCUGAAGCGACAAAUGCCCUGCUUCCAGGAAAAGCCUCUAAGCAUCAGGUAACAUCAAAUCGUACCCCAAACCGACACAGGUGGUCAGGUAGAGAAUACCAAGGCGCUUGAGAGAACUCGGGUGAAGGAACUAGGCAAAAUGGUGCCGUAACUUCGGGAGAAGGCACGCUGAUAUGUAGGUGAAGCGACUUGCUCGUGGAGCUGAAAUCAGUCGAAGAUACCAGCUGGCUGCAACUGUUUAUUAAAAACACAGCACUGUGCAAACACGAAAGUGGACGUAUACGGUGUGACGCCUGCCCGGUGCCGGAAGGUUAAUUGAUGGGGUUAGCGGUAACGCGAAGCUCUUGAUCGAAGCCCCGGUAAACGGCGGCCGUAACUAUAACGGUCCUAAGGUAGCGAAAUUCCUUGUCGGGUAAGUUCCGACCUGCACGAAUGGCGUAAUGAUGGCCAGGCUGUCUCCACCCGAGACUCAGUGAAAUUGAACUCGCUGUGAAGAUGCAGUGUACCCGCGGCAAGACGGAAAGACCCCGUGAACCUUUACUAUAGCUUGACACUGAACAUUGAGCCUUGAUGUGUAGGAUAGGUGGGAGGCUUUGAAGUGUGGACGCCAGUCUGCAUGGAGCCGACCUUGAAAUACCACCCUUUAAUGUUUGAUGUUCUAACGUUGGCCCCUAAUCGGGGUUGCGGACAGUGUCUGGUGGGUAGUUUGACUGGGGCGGUCUCCUCCUAAAGAGUAACGGAGGAGCACGAAGGUUGGCUAAUCCUGGUCGGACAUCAGGAGGUUAGUGCAAUGGCAUAAGCCAGCUUGACUGCGAGCGUGACGGCGCGAGCAGGUGCGAAAGCAGGUCAUAGUGAUCCGGUGGUUCUGAAUGGAAGGGCCAUCGCUCAACGGAUAAAAGGUACUCCGGGGAUAACAGGCUGAUACCGCCCAAGAGUUCAUAUCGACGGCGGUGUUUGGCACCUCGAUGUCGGCUCAUCACAUCCUGGGGCUGAAGUAGGUCCCAAGGGUAUGGCUGUUCGCCAUUUAAAGUGGUACGCGAGCUGGGUUUAGAACGUCGUGAGACAGUUCGGUCCCUAUCUGCCGUGGGCGCUGGAGAACUGAGGGGGGCUGCUCCUAGUACGAGAGGACCGGAGUGGACGCAUCACUGGUGUUCGGGUUGUCAUGCCAAUGGCACUGCCCGGUAGCUAAAUGCGGAAGAGAUAAGUGCUGAAAGCAUCUAAGCACGAAACUUGCCCCGAGAUGAGUUCUCCCUGAGACUUAGAGUCUCCUGAAGGAACGUUGAAGACGACGACGUUGAUAGGCCGGGUGUGUAAGCGCAGCGAUGCGUUGAGCUAACCGGUACUAAUGAACCGUGAGGCUUAACCUU